rnacentral:rRNA from 1 species
AGUGAACGCUGGCGGUAGGCCUAACACAUGCAAGUCGAACGGCAGCACAGUAAGAGCUUGCUCUUACGGGUGGCGAGUGGCGGACGGGUGAGGAAUACAUCGGAAUCUACUUUUUCGUGGGGGAUAACGUAGGGAAACUUACGCUAAUACCGCAUACGACCUACGGGUGAAAGCAGGGGAUCUUCGGACCUUGCGCGAUUGAAUGAGCCGAUGUCGGAUUAGCUAGUUGGCGGGGUAAAGGCCCACCAAGGCGACGAUCCGUAGCUGGUCUGAGAGGAUGAUUCACCCAAACGGAAACUGAACCACGUUCCAGAUUCUAACGGAAGGCAGAGGUGGGAAUUAUGGAACAUUGGGCGAAAGCUUGAUCCAGCAUUACGGGGGGGGUGAGGAGGGCCUUCGGGUGGUAAGCCCUUUUGUUGGGAAAGAAAAGCAGCAGGUUAAUACCCCGCUGUUCUGACGGUACCCAAAGAAUAAGCACCGGCUAACUUCGUG